rnacentral:lncRNA from 1 species
CGGUCAUCUCAGGCAGGGGGCUGCAAAGUUCAUUAAAUGAUCUUAUCUCGCUGCUGGUUCUGUUCAAAAUAGCCUUGAUAUGAUGAAGGAUUUAUGUUACCCCCACUUCAAAUAAAAAGUACCGAGGGAUGCAUUUCAUUAUUGCCCUGUGACACUGGAGAAGCCACGGCUGCAGUGGUAAUAUUCCUCAUUUGUUUGUGUCAUACAGAGAAUUUAUUUGCAAGAAGAGUCCUGCUCCAAAGAGAAAAUGAAUAGCCAAUAUAUGCGUCAUGAAGUGCGGGGUUGUGAAACCAGUGACCUGAGGAACUUCUGGGAAAAGACCAUUGAACAACAAACUCAAUAUCUGCAAAGUGAAAAAGAACGUCAGCGAAGAAGCGCUCUGACAAAGCUCAGAAAUGAAUGGAUGGAGAGGCUGGAAAAGCGGAUAAAGAUGUUGAGGACCCAGUCUGAAGACUCAUCCAGCUGAAGAGCCCACACUCAUUACACGUUUGGGGGAAAAAAGUUCUGUUUUGUAGGAAAGUGUGAUGCAAAAGCUGAAGUCAGCUUUACUUUGUAGCUUAAAUGAGCUAUUAUUAAUUAGCUGUUGUUAGAAGUUUCAUACGUGAAAUGUCAAUUGCUGCUUUUAAGAUUAUGCAUCUGUCCCUUCAUUUGACAAAUGGAGAAUGUAGCACUCUAAAGUAUUUAACCCUAAUAAAUCAUGGUUCACUGACA